CCGUGGCUGGCAUGGCUUCAGUGCGCGUCGAGCUUCGGUGAAGUUUGUACGUAGUUAAGCGUCCAUAUCGAAUUGGAAGUAACGUCCACGCCAUCGUCAUGUUCGGGUCACGCAUCGGGACGUCGAAGUCAAACCUGAGCGGCAGCAGCGACUCGGAGCUCAAGAACGUCAAGAUCGUCAGCGGCGCGCAAGGUUUCGUCGUCGACAUCGAAGACGCGAGUUUCUCUGUUGGCGGGGACGGCGACAAGAAGCAGGGCACGUCCAACAACAAUGGCGGACAAAGGAAACUCAAACAAGGCAAAUAAAAAGAAUUUGCUGGCAAAACCGAACUGGUAGUUUGUUGUUUUGAGCCCAUGAUAGAGCAAGAUUUUUGUUAGGUUGCAUUUGUUGAAAAAUAUGGUGCUUAACAUAGAAUUUUUGAGAUGUAACUUUUCGGUUCCAACGUCAGACCAAUUUCGUAAGUUUUUCAGGUAUCUAUUAAUUCAAGUUUGUUCUCAGCCAAAAAAAUUGAUAAGGUCAAUUUAACUGUACUCCUACGAACUCAUCGGAUAUUGCAUUUU